rnacentral:rRNA from 1 species
UACGGGGGGGGCAAGCGUUGUUCGGAAUUACUGGGCGUAAAGGGCGCGUAGGCGGCGUGACAAGUCACUUGUGAAAUCUCUGGGCUUAACCCAGAACGGCCAAGUGAAACUGUUGUGCUAGAGUGCAGAAGGGGCAAUCGGAAUUCUCGGUGUAGCGGUGAAAUGCGUAGAUAUCGAGAGGAACACCAGAGGUGAAGACGGGUUGCUGGGCUGACACUGACGCUGAUGCGCGAAAGCCAGGGGAGCAAACGGG